rnacentral:rRNA from 1 species
UACAGAGGGUGCGAGCGUUAAUCGGAAUUACUGGGCGUAAAGCGUGCGUAGACGGUCAUGUAAGUCGGAUGUGAAAGCCCCGGGCUCAACCUGGGAAUUGCAUUCGAGACUGCAUGGCUUGGGUGCGGAAGAGGGAAGCGGAAUUUCCGGUGUAGCGGUGAAAUGCGUAGAUAUCGGAAGGAACACCGGUGGCGAAGGCGGGUCUCUGGGCCGAUACUGACGCUGAGGAGCGAAAGCGUGGGGAGCGAACAGG